rnacentral:rRNA from 1 species
AGUGAACGCUGGCGGUAGGCCUAACACAUGCAAGUCGAACGGCAGCACAGUAAGAGCUUGCUCUUACGGGUGGCGAGUGGCGGACGGGUGAGGAAUACAUCGGAAUCUACUUUUUCGUGGGGGAUAACGUAGGGAAACUUACGCUAAUACCGCAUACGACCUACGGGUGAAAGCAGGGGAUCUUCGGACCUUGCGCGAUUGAAUGAGCCGAUGUCGGAUUAGCUAGUUGGCGGGGUAAAGGCCCACCAAGGCGACGAUCCGUAGCUGGUCUGAGAGGAGGGUCGGCCACACUGGAAGUGAGACACGGUCCAGACUCCUACGGGAGGCAGCAGUGGGGAAUAUUGGACAAUGGGCGGAAGCCUGAUCCAGCCAUACCGCGUGGGUGAAGAAGGCCUUCGGGUUGUAAAGACCUUUUGUUGGGAAAGAAAAGCAGCAGGUUAAUACCACGCUGUUCUGACGGUACCCAAAGAAUAAGCACCGGCUAACUUCGUG